UGGCGGACGGGUGAGUAACGCGUGGAAAACCUGCCGUAUACUGGGGGACAACACUUAGAAAUAGGUGCUAAUACCGCAUAAGCGCACAGCUUCGCAUGAAGCGGUGUGAAAAACUCUGGUGGUAUACGAUGGUUCCGCGUCUGAUUAGCUAGUUGGUGGGGUAAUGGCCUACCAAGGCAACGAUCAGUAGCCGGCCUGAGAGGGUGGACGGCCACAUUGGGACUGAGACACGGCCCAAACUCCUACGGAAGGCAGCAG
rnacentral:rRNA from 1 species